UUUCGUGGUGAAAGUCCUUUAUGGGGACCAAAUUUCCCCACAAGAAAUUGAGCGCAUGGUUGCUUUUGCGUCCCAAAAGAAUGAAUAUAAGAAAACAUUAAAAAAAAGUCUAAGGUAAUACAAUUAUAUUCAACUAAAAAUAAUCACAAUAAUUUGCACUUAUGAGUUAAUGUGAUAAUCAUGUGUAAAAACUCUUUGCAACUAUUAUUUAUCACAAAAUAAUUUUGCGGAUCAGAUUGCUCUGAGCGCUUGUGUGGUUUACCAAGAAAAUGCAGCCCUGUUGGUUUUCAUUUCUGUAUCGCAUCGCGGUGAGUUUCUAUUUCUUGGUAAUUCGGUUUGUGAAAUGCAUCAUCAUGGUGAUUGCAAGAACUACUGCAAUCCCUGCGGUUUUUCCUCUUGGUAAAUGCGUUCUGGUCGUGACCAAGGGUGGUCUCCCAAAUCGGCCGGGAAUAAGGCUAUUGUUGCAGAACAAAACGCCGCAACCACUGCUGUGGUAAAUAUGUUCCAGCAGAACUGCCCACCGCCGUCGGUGUAAUGAUUUCGAUAGCUGAACAAACGCCAUCUUCUGGGCAUUCCCACAGCUUGCCGACACUAGCUAUUACAUCACGUGUGAAUGCAACUGCGGCUAAAUUUGGUUAUUAACAGUGCAAUAGUACCAUAUCAUUGGCAAAAACAAUAAGGGCUGCUGGCACAUACGAGGUUGUAAAGUUUUUGGUAUCGAUGAACUUACUCGAAGAAG